rnacentral:lncRNA from 1 species
CCCUAGAGGCAGCCACAGGAGAACACACAAAAACAAAACUUCACUCAUUCUAAAAAAAACUCAUUCUUGGCCAUUUUCAAAAACCAGUCAAAACUUCCAAAGAACAAAACUUUGCCUUGCCAAAAACAACAUUCAUACAACAUUUUGAACUGGUUUUCAUCAGCAUUCCCCAGCUGGAAGGCCACUUCCCAUAACUGUUUUUCUUCACCUUCCAUCCAUGACAGUCCGCGAUUUGAGCAUUUCCAAGAUGUCCUGAGCCAAACCAU